rnacentral:rRNA from 1 species
GUACGCUAUUCAGAGUUUGAUCCUGGCUCAGGACGAACGCUGGCGGCGUGCUUAAUACAUGCAAGUCGAGCGAGGUUACUGCAUCAGAUUCCUUCGGGAUGAAGAGGCUUUAACCUAGCGGCGGACGGGUGAGUAACGCGUGGGUAACCUACCCUAGAGAUCGGGAUAACAGCGGGAAACUGCUGCUAAUACCGGAUGUCUCUACGAGAAGGCAUCUUUUAGUAGAGAAAGCGAUAGCGCUCUAGGAUGGGCCCGCGUCCCAUUAGCUAGUUGGUGAGGUAACGGCUCACCAAGGCGACGAUGGGUAGCCGGCCUGAGAGGGUGGACGGCCACACUGGGACUGAGACACGGCCCAG